GGAUGGGUGGCCGAGUGGUUUAAGGCUCUGGUCUUGAAAACCAGCGUAGGGGAAACUCUACCGUGGGUUCGAAUCCCACCCCAUCCGCCA
rnacentral:tRNA from 1 species